ACGGGUGAGUAACACGUGGGUAACCUGCCCAUAAGACUGGGAUAACUCCGGGAAACCGGGGCUAAUACCGGAUAACAUUUUGAACUGCAUGGUUCGAAAUUGAAAGGCGGCUUCGGCUGUCACUUAUGGAUGGACCCGCGUCGCAUUAGCUAGUUGGUGAGGUAACGGCUCACCAAGGCAACGAUGCGUAGCCGACCUGAGAGGGUGAUCGGCCACACUGGGACUGAGACACGGCCCAGACUCCUACGGGAGGCAGCAGUAGGGAAUCUUCCGCAAUGGACGAAAGUCUGACGGAGCAACGCCGCGUGAGUGAUGAAGGCUUUCGGGUCGUAAAACUCUGUUGUUAGGGAAGAACAAGUGCUAGUUGAAUAAGCUGGCACCUUGACGGUACCUAACCAGAAAGCCACGGCUAACUACGUGCCAGCAGCCGCGGUAAUACGUAGGUGGCAAGCGUUAUCCGGAAUUAUUGGGCGUAAAGCGCGCGCAGGUGGUUUCUUAAGUCUGAUGUGAAAGCCCACGGCUCAACCGUGGAGGGUCAUUGGAAACUGGGAGACUUGAGUGCAGAAGAGGAAAGUGGA
rnacentral:rRNA from 1 species